rnacentral:rRNA from 1 species
CAGUAGCCGCGGGAAUACGAAGGGGGCUAGCGUUGCUCGGAAUUACUGGGCGUAAAGGGCGCGUAGGCGGAUGUUUAAGUCAGAGGUGAAAGCCCAGGGCUCAACCUUGGAACUGCCUUUGAUACUGGACAUCUUGAGUGUGGGAGAGGUGAGUGGAACUCCGAGUGUAGAGGUGAAAUUCGUAGAUAUUCGGAAGAACACCAGUGGCGAAGGCGACUCACUGGCCCAUUACUGACGCUGAGGCGCGAAAGCGUGGGGAGCAAACAGGAUUAGAUACCCGUGUAGUCCCUGUCUCUUAUAC